UGGGAUCAAACUUCAACAUUUCAGGCUUGU
rnacentral:piRNA from 1 species